GUGAACUCUGGGUAAGUGAUUCUCCGUUUACUCGUUACUAUGACAACCCCUGCCAGUACUAUGGCUGCAGCGAGCAAUGGAGCGUGUGUACACGGGAGUCUAUGGCAGCAGAUCUGUGAAGAAUAUGAGCUGGAACAACCGUCCUUGCCACCUAGCGUUAAAUCUAAAGGAACAUCGAUAAUACGCGUAACAGGUCAAUCUGAGGAAGUAAUAUGUGAUGACAUAUCCUCUACACGCAUUCCUGAUCCAAAGACAUGUUCACCUCAAGAGUAUCUGGAAAACUACAUAUUCCCAGUGCUUCUUCCUGGAUUGACUGAAAUGCUGUCAGAAGCAAAGAAGGAGAAAUGCUUUAUAAAAAAGAGGACAAAAUUCCUUGCUUGUGACUUCCUCACUCAGUGGUUAUAUAAUCAGAAUCCAAUAAGGAAUGAUCAGCAGUGUAAAGAUUUCUUUGAGAUUCCGUUUGUUCAGGAAUGGUUAAAAGAUCAUCCAAGACCGCCAAUUCCAUUGUCUCUUCUCCUGUCUGAAGAGGAGGCGGCAUUACUCAUCCAGUCAUUCUGGAGAGGAUACCGGGUACGCUGUGAUCCAGAGGUCCAAGAAUUACGCCAGUGGCAAAAAGAUCUCAGAGAGAAUAAAGAUAUUAAUAAAAAAGUUCAAGAAUUCUGGGAAAAACAAGAAUCAAAAGAAAGCAUUCUGUUGAGACAGCCUGCGUAAGACAAAGACAGUCGUUUGGGUUGGUGGAAUGAAAUAUUGGUUUGCCAUCUUUAUGAUAAGUCAUUGGUCUCAGUCUUGAUACCAUUACUCUAAGAAGGUUAUGUCGGGUAUGCUCAUACCAAAGCCUUUUUGCAGUGGAAAAAGAACUGGAAGAUCUGAAGGACACAGGAUCUACAACGAAUAGUGCCAAAGUCUUCUUUCACAUUGUGCCACCAACUCCUCAAGACACAACAAUAGUAAUAUAAAUUGAUUAAAAGUAAAAAAAAAGAAAUUGUUUACUAUCAUUCACAGUAAA